rnacentral:rRNA from 1 species
CUGGAGGUAUCAGAAGUGCGAAUGCUGACAUAAGUAACGAUAAAGCGGGUGAAAAGCCCGCUCGCCGGAAGACCAAGGGUUCCUGUCCAACGUUAAUCGGGGCAGGGUGAGUCGACCCCUAAGGCGAGGCCGAAAGGCGUAGUCGAUGGGAAACGGGUUAAUAUUCCCGUACUUGGUGUUACUGCGAAGGGGGGACGGAGAAGGCUAUGUUGGCCGGGCGACGGUUGUCCCGGUUUAAGCGUGUAGGUGUGUGUUCCAGGUAAAUCCGGUUCACUUUAACACUGAGGCGUGAUGACGAGGCACUACGGUGCUGAAGCAACAAAUGCCCUGCUUCCAGGAAAAGCCUCUAAGCAUCAGGUAACAUCAAAUCGUACCCCAAACCGACACAGGUGGUCAGGUAGAGAAUACCAAGGCGCUUGAGAGAACUCGGGUGAAGGAACUAGGCAAAAUGGUGCCGUAACUUCGGGAGAAGGCACGCUGACACGUAGGUGAAGUGAUUUACUCAUGGAGCUGAAGUCAGUCGAAGAUACCAGCUGGCUGCAACUGUUUAUUAAAAACACAGCACUGUGCAAACACGAAAGUGGACGUAUACGGUGUGACGCCUGCCCGGUGCCGGAAGGUUAAUUGAUGGGGUCAGCGCAAGCGAAGCUCCUGAUCGAAGCCCCGGUAAACGGCGGCCGUAACUAUAACGGUCCUAAGGUAGCGAAAUUCCUUGUCGGGUAAGUUCCGACCUGCACGAAUGGCGUAAUGAUGGCCAGGCUGUCUCCACCCGAGACUCAGUGAAAUUGAACUCGCUGUGAAGAUGCAGUGUACCCGCGGCAAGACGGAAAGACCCCGUGAACCUUUACUAUAGCUUGACACUGAACAUUGAGCCUUGAUGUGUAGGAUAGGUGGGAGGCUUUGAAGCGUGGACGCCAGUCUGCGUGGAGCCGACCUUGAAAUACCACCCUUUAAUGUUUGAUGUUCUAACGUGGACCCGUGAUCCGGGUUGCGGACAGUGUCUGGUGGGUAGUUUGACUGGGGCGGUCUCCUCCUAAAGAGUAACGGAGGAGCACGAAGGUUGGCUAAUCCUGGUCGGACAUCAGGAGGUUAGUGCAAUGGCAUAAGCCAGCUUGACUGCGAGCGUGACGGCGCGAGCAGGUGCGAAAGCAGGUCAUAGUGAUCCGGUGGUUCUGAAUGGAAGGGCCAUCGCUCAACGGAUAAAAGGUACUCCGGGGAUAACAGGCUGAUACCGCCCAAGAGUUCAUAUCGACGGCGGUGUUUGGCACCUCGAUGUCGGCUCAUCACAUCCUGGGGCUGAAGUAGGUCCCAAGGGUAUGGCUGUUCGCCAUUUAAAGUGGUACGCGAGCUGGGUUUAGAACGUCGUGAGACAGUUCGGUCCCUAUCUGCCGUGGGCGCUGGAGAACUGAGGGGGGCUGCUCCUAGUACGAGAGGACCGGAGUGGACGCAUCACUGGUGUUCGGGUUGUCAUGCCAAUGGCACUGCCCGGUAGCUAAAUGCGGAAGAGAUAAGUGCUGAAAGCAUCUAAGCACGAAACUUGCCCCGAGAUGAGUUCUCCCUGAGACUUAGAGUCUCCUGAAGGAACGUUGAAGACGACGACGUUGAUAGGCCGGGUGUGUAAGCGCAGCGAUGCGUUGAGCUAACCGGUACUAAUGAACCGUGAGGCUUAACCUUACA